rnacentral:piRNA from 1 species
UAAUCUUGCCUGUUGUUGUACCUCAGC